CCUUUCUAUGCCAGGAGCGCUGCAGCAGAGCACUGCAUCCCUUACAGCAAGCGGGUCAGGUCUGGGAGAUGGAGAGGAGGUUUGCUGCUAGCUGGACAGGUCCAUGCUGCGGGAUUAUGAGAGCAGGUCUGGUUCAUGCAGUGGGUCAAAUCUGGGUGAUGGGAUUUGUGCUGCUAGCUGUCAAGGUCCAUGUUGUAUGUCAACUUGGAUGAUGGGAGUUGUGCUGCUAGCUGUCCAGGUCCAUGCAGUGUGUUAAGCCAGCGUGAUGGGAGUUGUGCUGCUAGCUGUCCAGGUCCAUGCAGUGUGUUAAGCCGGCGUGAUGGGAGUUGUGUUGCUUGCUGUUCAGGUCAAUGCAGUGUGUUAAGCCAGCGUGAUGGGAGUUGUGUUGCUAGCUGUACAUGUCUACGCAGUGGGUAAAGCCUGCGUGAUGGGAUUUGUGUUGCUAGCUGCCUGGUUCUAUGCAGUGUGAUGAGAGUUGUACUGCUAGCUGUCCAGGUCCAUGCAGUGUGUUAAGCCAGGGUGAUGGGAGCUGGGGUGCAUGGAGUUCCCAAGGCUGGAGGCAGGCUGGAG